GAUGAACGCUGACAGAAUGCUUAACACAUGCAAGUCGAUGGGGAAGUGGUGCUUGCACCAUGGUAACCAUGGCGGACGGGUGAGUAACGCGUAAGGAACUUGCCUGCGGGACUGGGAUAACAGCAGGAAACUGCUGAUAAUACCGGAUAAGGUCAUUAAGCUGCAUAGCUUAGUGAUGAAAGGAGACGCCUGCGGAGAGCCUUGCGUCCUAUUAGCUAGUUGGAGGGGUAACGGCCCACCAAGGCGAAGAUAGGUAGCCGGCCUGAGAGGGUGGACGGCCACAAGGGGACUGAGAUACGGCCCUUACUCCUACGGGAGGCAGCUGUGGGGAAUAUUGGACAAUGGGGGCAACCCUGAUCCAGCAAUUCUGUGUGCACGAAGACGGUUUUCGGAUUGUAAAGUGCUUUCAGCAGGGAAGAAGGAAGUGACGGUACCUGCAGAAGAAGCGACGGCUAAAUACGUG
rnacentral:rRNA from 1 species